AACGAACGCUGGCGGCAUGCCUAACACAUGCAAGUCGAACGAGACCUUCGGGUCUAGUGGCGCACGGGUGCGUAACGCGUGGGAACCUGCCCUUAGGUUCGGAAUAACUCCCCGAAAGGGGUGCUAAUACCGGAUAAUGUCUUCGGACCAAAGAUUUAUCGCCUUUGGAUGGGCCCGCGUUGGAUUCGCUAGUUGGUAGGGUAAAAGCCUACCACGGCGACGAUCCAUAGCUGGUCUGAGAGGAUGAUCAGCCACACUGGGACUGAGACACGGCCCAGACUCCUACGGGAGGCAGCAGUGGGGAAUAUUGGACAAUGGGCGAAAGCCUGAUCCAGCAAUGCCGCGUGAGUGAUGAAGGCCUUAGGGUUGUAAAGCUCUUUUAACCGGGAUGAUAAUGACAGUACCGGGAGAAUAAGCUCCGGCUAACUCCGUG
rnacentral:rRNA from 1 species